ensembl:snoRNA
UAGUGAUGAAAUUUUGAACUGAAACAGCUGGAAUUACUGGCAGAUUGUUCAGUGGUGAUCAUCGGUUUUCUGAAC